rnacentral:ncRNA from 1 species
UUAACAAAUUACAACCUGGGGCUGUAGUAUGUUCCAAGGGUUGGGCUGUUCGCCCAUUAAAGCGGUACGUGAGCUGGGUUCAGAACGUCGUGAGACAGUUC